rnacentral:lncRNA from 1 species
GGGAUCGGGGUUUGGGAUUUGGGAUCGGGGUUUGGGAUUUGGGAUCGGGGUUUGGGAUUUGGGAUCGGGGUUUGGGAUUUGGGAUCGGGAUCAGGGUUUGGGGUUCGGGAUCGGGGUUUGGGAUCGGGAUCGGGGUUUGGGGUUUGGGAUCAGGGUUUGGGAUUGGGGUUUGGGGUUUGGGAUCAGGGAUUUUGGGGUUUGGGAUUUGGGCUGGCAUUUGGGAUUUGGAGUUUAGGAUGGGAUUUGGGAUGGGAUUUGAUUUGGGAUUUGGGCUGUGAUUUGGGGUUUGGGGAUUGGGGGUUUGGGGUUUGGGAUUUGGGAUUUGGGGUUUGGGGAUUUGGGGUUUGGCAUUUGGGAUUUGGGCUGGGAUUUAGGAUGGGAUUUGUUUUGGGAUUUGGGCUGGGAUUUGGGAUUUGGGGUUUGGGAAUUGGGAUUUGGGAUUUGGGAUUUGGGGAUUGGGUUUUGGGGUUUGGGAUCGGGGAUUGGAGUUUGGAGUUUGGGGAUUUGGGAUUACGGCAUUUGGCAUUUGGGAUUUUGGGAUUUGGGCUGGGAUUUGGGGUGGGAUUUGGGAUUUGGGGUGGGAUUUGGGAUUUGGGGUUUGGGAUUGGGGAUUUGGGGUUUGGGAUUUGGGAUUUGGCAUUUGGGAUUUGGCAUUUGGCAUUUGGGAUUUUGGGAUUUGGGCUGGGAUUUUGGGAUUUGGCAUUUGGCAUUUGGGAUUUUGGGAUUUUCAGAUUUGGGACAGAAUUUGGGAUUUGGGAUUUUGGGAUUUGGGAUUUGGGAUUUGGGAUGGGAUUUGAUUUGGGAUUUGGGCUGGGAUUUGGGAUUUUGGGAUUUGGCAUUUUGGUAUUUGGCAUUUGGGAUGGCAUUUGGCAUUUGGGAUUUUGGGAUUUUCAGAUUUGGGAUUUUGGGAUUUGGGAUUUGGGAUUUGGGAUUUGGGCUGGGAUUUUGGGAUUUGGGGUUUGGGGAUUGGGAUUUGGGAUUUUGGGAUUUGGGAUUUGGGAUUUGAGAUUUGGGAUUUGGGCUGGGAUUUGGGAUUUGGGAUUUGGGGUGGGACAGGUGGGAAGUGACCUCAAAUCCCGUCCCGUUCCAGCCCUGCCGUGGCAGGGACAGCUCCCGCUGGCCCAGGCUGCUCCAAGGCUGCCCUCGGGCACUUCGGGGCUCCAGGAGCACCCACAGCUUCCCUGGGAAUUCCAUCCCGGAAUUCCAUCCCGGAAUUCCUU